CUGUGGGCCACCUAGUCACC
rnacentral:miRNA from 1 species